GGCGGGGGGCGCGGCGUUGCUGGGGGGCGUACCCUGGCGCCCGGCGGGAGACCGCGGAGAGCUGCCCAGCCGCUUAACGCCCCCUAGCUCGCUCACCCCUUGGCCUCUGCAGGUGGACCAGCCGGGCGCGCGGAGGUGGGGGUGCCCCCCGCUCCAGCUCUCCGACUUCAAGGCUUCCAGACUUCGCGCUGCUCCCCCCUCCCCCCGCCCCGUUCUGCCCUCUGCCCUCCCUCCACACCCCUCUCUCCACGGACUUCCCCAGUCUGCCUCCAGCCCUUCACCUACCUGUUGGGGGGACAAAGCCCUCAGCUGUCUCUGGGGCACCUGGAUUCAGCGAGUCCCAACAGUUGCUCAACAGAAACGGCAGUCACCCUUAACACCCUGCCCAGAGGGGUGGUCACCCCCACGCAUUCUACUCCAGAGUGUUCUGGGCCUCUGACCAGCUCAGCGGGUGUCAGGACCCUUCUGCAGACCAUGAACCUAGGGCCAGCACAAUGCCUGGCACACUCCGUCCCAACACGGCCUCGUGUGGCUGUGAUGGGGGAGGUACUCGAUUGAAGGCAGGUGACAAGGUAAGGAGAUGCAGGCUGUGGACGUGACCUGCAGAAACCAGGUACUAGGUUUCUGAUAGGCCCACCCCAGCUUUGUAUCCAAGAAAUAAGCCAAGAGAAAAUGGGGACCUCUCCUGUGUGAGCACCCAGUACCUCUCUGAGAAGGAUGGGGUGCCAGCUGGCACGGUGCCCUCUCGGUGCUGAGCCAGGCCCUGCUUUCGACGUUGACCUGCAGUGGAUGAGGGCAGGUGGACUUCCAGGGCACUGGGACUCCUCACAGCUGCUGCUGCCACCUCCUGCCGGACCCUUAGGAGAUCUGGGAGUGGGGAAAGUGGUCAGUGGUGACCUAGAGGCCAGGCUCUGCCCAGGACUCUCGCUACCUCAACCCUGCCCCUUCCAUGUAGAGACCCAGGCAGACCCCAGGCAAGGUGUUCAGCACAAUCUCCCACACUGCCCUGAUGGCGCUACAGUAAGAAGGACUGCAGCAUACAGAUCAGGCAACGAUAAGGCUGGGGAAGUGCGGCAGCAGUGAGAGGCCGAUCAAUCUCCACUUUACAGCUGACAGAAUGGUGCUAAUAACUUAUUGAUCUCAGCCACCUCACUGCCACCGGUCUGGGCUCAGCAGCCCAACCCCAGGCCCUACCCAGAGAGGGACGAGGUCCUUCACCGCUUGACUGAAGGGUCCCUACCUCAGGGAUCUGUCAGGACAGCUCCUCACCUGCAGCUCCCAGGCCUAUCUCCACACCACCUCUCUGGAAUUCACAGCGGCUCUGAUGCUCGGGCAUAACGAGGUGGCGGCUGCGGUGGACACUGGAUAUAAGGGUAGGCAAGUCGCUGUCCUGGCUGCAGCGAAGCAAUACAAUGAAGGUGAGAUCCCAAAAGGCCAUGCACCCAGCCCUGGGCACAGCAAGUGCCUGAAAAAGCUCGAGUGUGGGCAUGCAUAGUGCCAGAGGACAGUCUGUAAAUGUGCAAUGCCUCCUGCAUACCUCUGUGUGAGUCUGUGACAGCACACAUGUGGGCAUCCCCAGAGCAGGUCCCAAGGGAAACCUCUGGUGGGUGUGACCUACCCAGGUCUCACCCAGGCCCAUUAGGACCUACCAGGUGUCUGCCAGGCCUCUGUCAGGCCUGGGGCCCUUACGCUCUGGCCCCACCGCAGCUCCCAGGGAGGUGUAUGCAGAGCACGGGAGCCCAGCUCAGUCUUGCCAUGCUCUCCCCAUAGUGACCAGAGCAAACACCAGGCAAGGGGGAUGUCUGCUCAUGAGGAACAGUGACCAGAGAGGACACGCACUGUCACACAUGCACCUACUCCUGCGCCAGCUGCUUCAUUAAGAAAGUUGCAUUUACUCUUCCAACUAAAACCUGCAACUACCCACAGACCCUCAAUUUCUUCAAAUAAGGAAAGGAAACUGAAAUUCAGACCAAAGUCCUGCAGGCAAUGAGAUGUGUGCACAAUAGGGACGUACACACGGGCACGUGCAGGCUCAUGCAAGGGCAAGAGCAUGCACCUACAUUUGCACAUACACAUAACCCUCCCUCCUCCCCCGCCAUGUGCCCAUGACACCGGUCUCCCCAAGGCCCCCUGCUAAGAAUCUCAGCCACCAGGAAUAAACAAGUAUUUAACUCUUCUAUUCCCUUUAUUCCCUCAUUUCUCUUUUUGGUAAAUCAACUCAAUC